rnacentral:rRNA from 1 species
UCGACCGCCUGGGGAGUACGGCCGCAAGGUUAAAACUCAAAUGAAUUGACGGGGGCCCGCACAAGCGGUGGAGCAUGUGGUUUAAUUCGAUGCAACGCGAAGAACCUUACCUGGUCUUGACAUCCACAGAACUUUCCAGAGAUGGAUUGGUGCCUUCGGGAACUGUGAGACAGGUGCUGCAUGGCUGUCGUCAGCUCGUGUUGUGAAAUGUUGGGUUAAGUCCCGCAACGAGCGCAACCCUUAUCCUUUGUUGCCAGCGGUCGGCCGGGAACUCAAAGGAGACUGCCAGUG